GGGGGGGCUCAGCCCUGUGCUGCCCUCCCACACUGUCUCUUCUCCAGGGUGAGCAAGGGCUGCUGGGAGCCCCAGGACAAGCAGGACCACCCGGCCCCCUGGUAAGUCGGCGUGGGUGAGCCCUGUGGACCCUGGCGUCCCGACUGGGUGCAGCCCGGGGAGCUUGACACCCUCUUUGCCUCUUGCAGGGCCCCGUGGGUUUGCCUGGCCUCAAGGGAGACCCUGGCCACAAGGGAGAUAAGGGCCACGCUGGACUGAUCGGGCUCAUCGGACCUCCAGGAGAGAUGGGGGAGAAAGGAGACCAGGGGCUGCCGGGCAUCCAGGGCCCCCCAGGACCCAAAGGAGACCCUGGUUUGGCUGGACCCACAGGUCCCACUGGCCCCCCAGGGCCCCCUGGGCUCUCGGGACCCUUGGGCCAGACGGG
rnacentral:lncRNA from 1 species